rnacentral:lncRNA from 1 species
AUUGAAAUUACAUUUAUCAAUUAUUUAAGAGUGUAGGCGCAAAUAUUUUACGGCUAUCCCUACUUUUUCUGUCUAUCACGGCAAAUUACCAUAGAUAUAAUAACCUGUAGAUUAGUCAAGGUAGCCAUGGGCCCCUUGCAGUGCUGUUUUAUAGUAUUUUUACUACAAAAACGUUAUUACAGAGGUCAAAAUUUUUGAGGUAAGAGAACUGUCAAAACAUUAGAAUGUGACUUUUCAUUAUUGCUAUGUUUAUUAAAGCCACUUUACAGGAUGCAAGUAAUUGCGAAAUUUAUUGCACAAGUUCUUGCAGCAAGAACUUCUGCAAUAAGUUGCAACUAGCUUUCUGCAAUAAAGUGAUUACACGGUGCAAGUAAUUGCAUAAACUGACAUGAAAUGAACAGAAACUUUGACAUAGGCCAUUUCAAGACUUUGACGUUUAUGACACUAAUUGAAAGCUGGAAGGCAAACAUUGAAAUUAUUUAUAUUUGUACCGCAUUGAGUUUCUUAAGUUUUUUACGUUUAAUAGUUUUUUUAUAAAAUAGUUAUUGUUGUUAUAAAAUAGUGGUCUAUAUAAUUGUUUUUAUAUAAUAGUUUAAUCGUUGUAUAAUAGUUUUUUAUAGUUGUAUUUUCCGAACAUUUUGCUGUUGACUUCUGUAGCUUCCAGCUGUAGAAGUACUUUAACGACUGUAUUUAGUUGUAAGCAGUGAAUAAAUAAACAUAAGUAAAUAUUUUCAAAAGCUUUUGGUAUAUAGAUCCAUUUUCCCUCAAGGGGUAUGAGUUAACCUACAGUAGAAAAAGUUUUUCAAGGGUGACAACAUGGACAAAUAUAGUUACUUACAUGGACAUAGUUUUUUUUGUAUUUGGAGCUUAGUAAUAGUUUUUACACAGGUCAACAAAUGAAGGCAUUCAAGAGUUUAAAUUCUUACAAAUAUUUUGAGACAACGCUCCUGCUCAUCCCUCUGAAAAUAUUCUAUGAUCAAAACAUGGCAACUUUAGUUGUAUGUUUUUGCCAAAAAAUACAUCGCUUAUUCAACCCAUGGAUCAGGAAAUAAUUUUAGCAACAAAAUGAAUAUAUCGCCGAAAAUUUUUAGAUGAAGUAAUUGUAUGAUGAAGAUAACACAGAAGAUACAAGAGGGCAGCAUACUUUGCAAAACUUAACUGUUACAAUUUGAAAUCAACAAUUUGUUAAGUUUGCUACAGCAUGGAAAGGCAGUUAUUAAGGGGUUACAUAGGUCUUGCGGGUAAAAAAGUGACUUUUUAAAAAAAUUAUAUCUUGGAAACUAAAAAUUAUUUUUAUUUAUAAUUGGAACAUGUAAAAGUAUAGUACACUCAAAAAAAUUUCAGCCAAAUAUAUUCAUUUUUGUAGAGUUGACUGCAAUUUUUCGACAACAGCCCUUUUUUGCGGUGAGCAGCAUAACAAGUCCAGUCUCAUCUGAAAUUUCUUGUAGUUUAUACCUCUGGUUAGUGAAUGAACAAAGAUUUUUUUAUUAGAUGAGGUCAUUUUUGUUUUAUCAAAAAAAACUACUUUAAAAAUGAGAAAAAUUGGGGUCAAAAAUGUGUUUAAACUUAUGUAAAAUCUUCAAAUUUCAUUUUUUUAAAUUCCUUCGUUCAUUUACUAGCCAGAAUUAUAAACUACAAGAAACUUUUUGAUUUCAAAUGAGACUGGACUUAGUUAUGCUGCCCACCGCAAAAAACUUAAACUCUACAAAAAUGAAUAUUUUUGGCUGAAACUUUUUUUGAGACUACCUUAAGUACUAUACUUUUACAUGUUCCAAUUAUAAAUAAAAAUAAAUUUUAGUUUUCGAGAUAUAAUUUUUUUAAAAAGUCACUUUUUUACCCAUAAGACCUAUGUAACCCCUUAAAAAAAUGUUUGAUGGCCAAGAUGCAUACAUAUAUUUAGAAGGAAAGUUCCUAAUUUCUGUAGUAUAAUACAUAAUACCGAAGAGGAAGUAGCUCUAAGAGCCGGACUCGACUUGCGAUUUGUAGUCGUGAAGAUUGAACACAUUCUUUCAAAUAGAAGUCAAUCCAUGAUUAUUUAGUUACAAAUGGAUUGACUUGUAUUUGAACAAUGUGUUCAAUCUUCCUGAUUACAAAUCGCAAGUGGAGUGUGGUGCUAAUAACACCAAAAUAUUCCAUAUAUGUCCAUAGAAGGUACACAGACAUUGAAAAAUUCCUGGAAUAUCCCCGAAAACACAUUCCCUGAACAUCCCAGGAAAAUCCUGUUUCAGCAUUUUAAAAAUUACCUGAAUGUCUUAUUGGAACAUUCCAUGAAUGUCCACGAAUGUUCUUUGGACAUUCAAAAUAUAUUUUGUAGACAUUCCCUGGAUAUACCAGAAAUACAGUGAUGAGCGCUCUAAUAACCUGCAAAAUAGCACAAAAGAUGGAAAACGUAUUAAGUAGUGAGAUAAAAAGAAAUGAAACUAGUCGAGCUGGGAAAUUUAGCGAUAUUAACUUAUACAUUUAGAUUGUAUUGAUUGUGUACCACCUUCAGACGUAUCAGACGAGUUUGGAAACUACCACUGUCACAGUGACAGUUUUAGUUGAUAUACUCCUCUGAUAUGUGUAAAGGUGGGAAACAAUCAAUAUAAAAUAAAAUUUAAAGGUUAAUUUCGCUAAAUUUCCCAGCUCGACUAGUUUCAUUUCUUUUUAUCUCACAACUAAAUAUGUUGCCCGUCUUUUGUGCUAUUUUGCCGGUUAUUAGGGCACUCAUCACUGUACAUCCUUGCUGAUGUGACAAUACCUCCUAUCUGUUUUUUCAUGAGUUUUGUAGGAGAGAUGGAAAAACAUGUUUUAAGGUCACCUCCUGUGUUCAUAUGUAAGUUUUGACUUGUUUUGUAGUUCAUAGAUAGUUUAAUUUACUACAAAACAAGUCAAAAAAUAUCAUAUGAAAACAGGAGGUGACCCUAAGACAAGUUUUUAGUCUCACGAAACUCAUGAGAAAACAGAUAGGAUGUAUUAUUACAUCACUGACGAUAUGUGGCCAUACCAAUUAAUACAUCCUUGAUAAAUAUAAACAUUUUUAUUGAACAAAAUCUUUUCAUACAUUUUUUUAAUGCAAUUUACUGAUAUUCCUAAAUAUUUCAAAAAAAUGUGUCACAUUUGCUUUGUAAACCUUUCUUUUGCCUUUCGUAGCCACAUAUUCCGUUUCCUUCCUGGGUUUUUGUAGACCACUUCUCUCAGCUGAUUCUAAAAAAAUAAAAUAAAUGGUAAUUUUUCUAUCCUUUACAAUUAACAAUCAGAAGAAAUAUUUACAGGUAAUAAUAUGCAUAAAUAAUAAUAUUUUGUAUUUUGACAAUGACGUCUGAUUUGGAAGUCGAAAGAUUAAUAAAAUUAUUUUUUAAGUUAAA